GAUGAACGCUGGCGGCGUGCCUAAUACAUGCAAGUCGAGCGAACGGACGAGAAGCUUGCUUCUCUGAUGUUAGCGGCGGACGGGUGAGUAACACGUGGAUAACCUACCUAUAAGACUGGGAUAACUUCGGGAAACCGGAGCUAAUACCGGAUAAUAUUUUGAACCGCAUGGUUCAAAAGUGAAAGACGGUCUUGCUGUCACUUAUAGAUGGAUCCGCGCUGCAUUAGCUAGUUGGUAAGGUAACGGCUUACCAAGGCAACGAUGCAUAGCCGACCUGAGAGGGUGGUCGGCCACGCUGGAACUGAGCCCCGGUCCAUACUCCUACGGGAGUCAGCAGUAGGGAAUCUUCCGCAAUGGGCGAAAGCCUGACGGAGCAACGCCGCGUGAGUGAUGAAGGUCUUCGGAUCGUAAAACUCUGUUAUUAGGGAAGAACAUAUGUGUAAGUAACUGUGCACAUCUUGACGGUACCUAAUCAGAAAGCCACGGCUAACUACGUG
rnacentral:rRNA from 1 species